rnacentral:tRNA from 1 species
GAGGGUAUAGCUCAGUGGUAGAGUAUGUGCUUAGCAUGCAUGAGGUCCUAGGCUCAAUCCCCAGUGCCUCCA